GGCGUAGGCAGUUUUUCAAGUCGAUUGUGAAAUCUCUCGGCUUAACCGGGAGGAGUCAUUCGAUACUGUUAGACUAGAGGGCAGCAGAGGGAGGUGGAAUUCCCGGUGUAGUGGUGGAAUGUGUAGAUAUCGGGAGGAACACCAGUGGCGAAGGCGGCCUCCUAGGCUGUCCCUGACGCUGAGGUCCAAAAGCGUGGGGAGCAAACAGGAUUAGAUACCCUGGUAGUCC
rnacentral:rRNA from 1 species